GGCGUGUACUGCUUGGCUGGGCCUUACUUCUUGGUGAGCCGGCGUGCCCUUUAUUGGUGUGCGUCGGGGAACCGGGACUUUUACCUUGAGAAAAUUAGAGUGUUCAAAGCAGGCCUAUGCCUGAAUACAUUAGCAUGGAAUAAUAGAAUAGGACGUGCGGUUCUAUUUUGUUGGUUUCUAGAGUCGCCGUAAUGAUUAAUAGGGACAGUUGGGGGCAUUGGUAUUGAGUCGCUAGAGGUGAAAUUCUUGGAUUGACUCAAGACCGACUAUUGCGAAAGCAUUUGCCAAGGAUGUUUUCAUUAAUCAAGAACGAAGGUUAGGGGAUCGAAAACGAUCAGAUACCGUUGUAGUCUUAACAGUAAACUAUGCCGACUAGGGAUCGGAUGACCUCAAAAUUGAUGUGUCAUUCGGCACCUUACGAGAAAUCAAAGUCUUUGGGUUCUGGGGGGAGUAUGGCCGCAAGGCUGAAACUUAAAGGAAUUGACGGAAGGGCACCACCAGGUGUGGAGCCUGCGGCUUAAUUUGACUCAACACGGGGAAACUCACCAGGUCCAGACAUAACUAGGAUUGACAGAUUGAUAGCUCUUUCAUGAUUUUAUGGGUGGUGGUGCAUGGGCCGUUCUUAGUUGGUGGAGUGAUUUGUCUGGUUAAUUCCGAUAACGAACGAGACCUUAACCUGCUAAAUAGCCAGGCCGGCUUCGGCUGGUCUCUGGCUUCUUAGAGGGACUGUCAG
rnacentral:rRNA from 1 species